rnacentral:misc_RNA from 1 species
GAUGAAGAACGUAGCGAAAUGCGAUAAGUAGUGUGAAUUGCAGAAUUCAGUGAAUCAUCGAAUCUUUGAACGCACAUUGCGCCCUUUGGUAUUCCUUAGGGCAUGCCUGUUCGAGCGUCAUUUAAACCUUCAAGCUCAGCUUGGUGUUGGGUGACUGUCCGCUUCACUGCGGACUCGCCUCAAAAUUAUUGGCGGCCGGUACAUUGGCUUCGAGCGCAGCAGAAACGCGAACUCGGGCCCGUCGUAUUGGCUCCCAGAAGCUAUCUUCACAAUUUUGACCUCGGAUCAGGUAGGGAUACCCGCUGAACUUAAGCAUAUCAAUAAGCGGAGGA